UAAAUAAAUAAAUAAAUAAAAAUAAAUGGAUGUAUUUUUGAAAGGAGAAGUGGUCAGUGUUCUUGGUCCAAAAGACACUGAAAGAUGACACUGUGGCCAACGGAAGAAAUAUCCAGAGCAGUGCUGUCCAUACAGUAGAUGUGGCCAUUUAAAUUUAAUGUAUUUAAAAGUAAAUAUAAUGUGGGGCAGGGGGAUAUACCUCAGUGGGUAGAGUGCUUGCAUCACAUACAAUGAAAGCUCUGGGUUCAGUCUCCAGCACUGCAUAAAGUCAAACAGUGUAGCCUAUGCCUAUAAUCCCAGAACUUGGGGGAUGGAGGCAGAAGGAUCAAAAGUUCAAAGUCAUCCUUGGUUAUAUAGCAAGUUCCAGGCCAGCCUGGGCUACAUGAGACCCUGUCAAAAAAAAAGAGAGAGAGAUAAAAUUUAAAAUAGAGAAACAUUAGACACAGUUAAAGUUCUCCAGAUCAGUCAGCACUGAUCAAGAGCUCAAUAACAACAAAGCAAUAACAGUAACAGUCAUACCUCACUUCCAAGCCCGUGUCUUGGCAUCCCAAGUUGGUCUGGCCAUCUCUCUUCUUCUUCCCCCACCACUCUGUCUUCCUUCUCUUCUUUUACAAAAUCAGAUACUGAACAACAGCCCGGUCUCUCUCUGGUGUCUGGUUGCCCCCCUUUCCUACUCCCUAAGGAACAUCACUCCAUAGCUUGUCCUUCUUUAAUGUGGCCAGUCACUCUCUACUGGAAAUUUUCCAUUAUUAAACAGUCCCUUCUAUUGUUUUUGUUUGUUUGUUUGGUUGGUUUUCUGUUUUGUUUUGUUUUUUAAUGAAACAAGAUCUCCAGUCCGUUCAUGUGCAUGCUACAGCUUGAGAAGCACUGGCCCAAAUGCAGCAAGGACAGACCAAUCAAAUGGAGCCUCCAAUUCCGAGGUAGGAUUGCUGUUGCUGACAAGAUUCUCCAAAAUGGUAAAUAACCCUUGGUACAGUCCAGAAAAAAAAAAAAAAAAGAGGGUAUAAUCUUCAUUCACUUUGCAUAGCAUUUGCCUCCCUGGAAUAGUAAAUCAUGCUGGAAUGGACUUUGUUCAUUUGAAAACUGGAGUGAGCUGUCACUCUUAGAUAAUUACAUAGUAAACUUUCCCCUACAUAAGUAUUCAAAAGUCAUGCCGUGUUAUGCACACACUGUACGACAUCAAGCAUCUUUGGUUUCCUCCUAUCACAAUAAAUGUUGCUGUACUACCCAGAUUCAGCACAAUAUCUAGAAGCUACCCCCAAGAAUCCAGAACUACAAGUUAUCAUUCAGUGGCUACCUGUGACCUAUUUGGAUGUCUGCUAUGCUUCUGUCAAUUGUUCCUAACUGCUGAAUCUUUCUCCUAAAUCUAAACCCAAGUCAGUUUGUAGAACUUGUAGAAGUUACAUUAGCCACUGAUCUUGAAUAAGCCAUAGACAGUAGGCCCUAUGUGGACAGAAUUUAUUGUUUUCUCUUCUCUUCACAUUCCCUUAGAGAAGUGUCCUGCAUUAUUCAUAUAUUAUCUGUCGGGUGAAUGGGUUACAAAAAUUCCCAUUACUUUUAUUUUUAUUUAUUUAUUUUUUUCAAGACAGGAUCUUUCUGUGUAACCCUGGCUAUCCUGGAACUCCCUCUGUAGACCAGGCUAGCCUCAAACUUAGAAAUAUGCCUGCCUCUGCCUUCCAAGUGCUGGGAUUAAAGGCGUGUGCCACCACACCUGUCUGCAUGCCCUUUCUUGGAUGACAAAUCUCAAACUGAUUUCAGGAGAGAAGAAUCUACAAGAAUAAACCAGGGACUUGGGAUGAGGAAGCCUCUAGUUCUUCCAGAAUUUGUUCUAACAUCUGGAUACAUCUAUUAGAGCCGGGCAUGGUGGUGCACACCUGUAAUCCAAGCCCUUGGGAGAUUGAGGCAGGAGGAUUGCCACAAAUUCAAAGGUAGCCUGGGCUACAUACUGAGUUCAAGGUGAGCCUAAGAUAAAUCCCCAGAUCCCCUGUAAAGUAUUUCUAGAAUUCAAUUUUCAGUCUUCAUUUUGGACCCAAGUGAUUAUCUAAACUCUAGAUUCUAGAGUGACAGUUUAAUGUUAAAUAGUAAGUGAAAGGUUUACAACACGCCCCCACGGUCGGGCGUGUUCGCAUAUGCCCAACAGACACUUCCACCUAGCCAGUUCCAGGUCAGGAUAGCCAUUUCCGGGUCAGGGCAUCUUGCGUGACCAAGAUCCGUGACGUUCCACUGGCUACGUAGGCGCGCAACGUGGCCAUGUGAUCUACGCACUUGCGUGUAGUAGUGACGCUGAUCUGUCCACGCCCAGCCUUUAAAAUCCGGCGCCAUGUUCCCGGUUCUUUCUUCUUCUUCUUCCUCCUUCUUCUCCACACACGUGUUUCCUGCAGGCCUGCUCACUCUCUGUCCCUUUACCUUUAAUAAAACUCUUGUUAGCGGAUUCUGUCGUGUUUCGUGGCAUUUCCUUGCAGGGUAAGAACACAACGCAGCAAAAAAUCUAACAUUUUGGUGCCGAAACCGAGCGGGCACUUCCGGGCACCCUGCGCCUGGAAACCCGUAAACCGGGGACUGCAACACUCUGCUCCGUACGCGACAGACCGCUCUCCAUUUCGCCUGACCGCAGAAAUUCCAUGCAACACCGCUUUCUCCGAUUGGUGAGUCCCCCCAUUUUUCGGCCAGUGUAAACGGUUUCCUGAAUCUGUGAGAACAACCGGUACCUCACAAGUAUUCUUGAGACCAGGGGAACCCCCGGCCACGGUCUUCAUUGGCUACGGUCGGCCCCUAUCGCAGGCCUCAGAUUUCUAGCCCUCUCCCACGUCUGCAGCCUGAGAUAUUUCUCGCGUUGGGACCACCGCCGUUGGGUGCGUCCUGGGGGCCACGUGGGGCCGACACGUUCAUCCGACUUGACGAAGUGGCAGACGCUGUCUGGAUUCCCGGGGAAUCCUUUCCUCACGUGGCAGGGGCCCCCGCUUCUGUGGCUGACGAGCCAAGGAGCGGCUUGUGCCCGGGAUCCGUCCUUGGCCUUGGGGACGCCUGGGGCCUUGGCUCCGGAUCACGUUUGUUUUUUUAUCUUUUUUUUUUUUCUGCCUCUCUGCUGCAGACAUGGGAAACAAGGCUUCCAACCCUGUUAGUCCUUCCUCUCCGUUAGGCUGUCUUGUUGAAGCUUUAAAACCUCUUAGUUUAAUGCCUUACAUAAAGAUUCCUAAGCUAACUCGUCUAUGUUCUAAAAAAUGGCCAAAGUAUGCUUUAGAAAACAACAAAAAUGGCCGCCGAGCGGCUCCUUAGAUCCCGAUAUUUUACGGGAGUUAUCUAAUUACUGUCAGCGCUCAGGCAGAUGGCAAGAGUUGCCCUAUGUUAUAGCAUUUUUCUUUCUCAGUGCUAAACCGUCUCUUCUGAAUUCCUUCUCUCCUGCUCAUAUGCUCCUGGCUAUGCCUGAACCGGAGGAUUUUCUGACUCCGGAAUCUCUGACUCUAGAUCCUGCUAACGAACCUCCACCUAUUCGACCUCCAGCUCCAACUCCUAGAAAACCGUUCCUUCCGCUCCCCUUCCAGAUUAUUCUUCUUCUAAAGCUGCUCCUUCCUCGGCAGCGGCCGGUUCCAAAGGCCCUGUCCUAGCUCCAAACUUCACUCCUCCUACCACCCGCUCUCGGGCUGCUAAAUUGCCAGAUUCCAGCCAUCCAAAACCUUCCACUGUUCUCCCUUUGCGAGAGGUGGCUGGUGUGGAUGGACUGAUUAAAGUUCAUGUUCCAUUCUCUCUAGCAGAACUCUCUCAGAUAGAAAGUAAGCUGGGUUCUUAUACUUUUAAUUCUGCUGCCUUUAUUAAACAGUUUCAAUAUAUAACUCAAUCUUAUAGUCUUACCUUUCAUGAUAUAUUCAUGAUACUUUCUAAUAACUUACUUCCUGAGGAGCGCAGGCGGGUUUGGGAGCAGGCUAGGAUUCAUGCAGACGAAAUUCAUCAAACUAACCUUUCACACCCUCCAGGAGCUGAGGCGGUUCCUGACCGAGAGCCACACUGGGAUUAUAACACCCAGGGUGGCUGUCUAGCCAGAGAUAGGUUUAUUAUCUGUCUCCUGACAGGUCUCCGUAAGGCUGCCCUAAAACCAGUAAACUAUGAAAAACUAAAAAUGGUUAAUCAAGAUAAGGACGAAAAUCCGUCUCAUUUCCUAGAGCAGCUCACCAAGGCUCUACUUCAGUUCACUAGCUUAGACCUGGAGAGCCCUGAGGGCAGGCAGCUGCUAAUAACCCAGUUUGUCUCACAGAGCUUCCCUAACAUUAGGGAUAAACUUAAACAUUUGGAGAGCGGCCCUCUAACUCCACAGGCAGAUGUGCUGGUGAUAGUGUUUAAGGUGUUCCAUGGUAGAGAUGAAAAAGCCCAUAAAAGGAGCUGCCAGAUGCUGGCAAGCACUGCCCGACCGGCUCCCCGAAAGCCAUCUGGUCCCUGCUUCAAGUGUGGGAGAGAAGGCCAUUGGGCCCAGGCUUGCACCACCGGCCCAUGAAGGGCACCGACAAAGCCUUGUCCAAAGUGUUGCCAAAAGGGUCACUGGUCAGCUGACUGUCCUAAUGUCCCAAGCGACAUAGGAACGCCAGAUGAAGACCACCCUCCAGCUGACUUUGUAGGCUUGGCUUACAGCGAGGACUGCUGCUGCCUGGUUUCUGCCCCGGCCACUCCCAUCUCACACAGGGAACCUAGGGUAAUUAUAAAGGUCAAUGGGCGGCCCCAUCUCGUUCCUUUUGGACACCGGAGCUACCUACUCUGUCCUGAGAGUUUUGGAGGCCCACCUCUCCUGCUCGUCUCCCUAUUGUCGGGGUUGGGGACAGCCUUAUCUACCUCAUCAGACACCACCACUCAAUUGCAUUUUCAGAGGCAUCCCUCUCACACACACAUUCUUAGUGGUGCCAAGCUGCCCUGUACCUUUAAUGGGGAGGGAUCUUCUAGCUAAGGUAGGAGCGUCCAUUUCUUUCGCUCCACACAUUCGCCUCAUCCCAGACAUGCCAGCAGCUCCUUUACUUCUCCUCCUAGCCACUCACUCUUCUGACUCUAACAAUUCCUUUCCCCUACCAGUCUCUCAGGUAGACACAGUCUCUCAGGUAGACACACAGAGCCGGAGGCAAAAAGGACCAUCAAAAAUAUCCAGGCGUAUCUUGUCAAACAGAAGGUUCCCAGCCACAGCACGGAUGGACAGCCGCAGAACGAGGGGACGGCAGAACUUCAUUCCAGGACCUGCCCACCAACAUCCCAGGACUUCACAAGAUACCCUCUCAUCCCCCUGCCCCCCCAAGAGCCAACCAACGCCCACUAUUCAGCUGGAAGCAGUCUUUGAGAGAAACGUCGCCCCCAUACCCAGCCAACCACAAUUUUUUUCUUUUUUAAAAAAGGAAGAGUCAGGGAUGAAAGGUUUACAACACGCCCCCACGGUCGGGCGUGUUCGCAUAUGCCCAACAGACACUUCCACCUAGCCAGUUCCAGGUCAGGAUAGCCAUUUCCGGGUCAGGGCAUCUUGCGUGACCAAGAUCCGUGACGUUCCACUGGCUACGUAGGCGCGCAACGUGGCCAUGUGAUCUACGCACUUGCGUGUAGUAGUGACGCUGAUCUGUCCACGCCCAGCCUUUAAAAUCCGGCGCCAUGUUCCCGGUUCUUUCUUCUUCUUCUUCCUCCUUCUUCUCCACACACGUGUUUCCUGCAGGCCUGCUCACUCUCUGUCCCUUUACCUUUAAUAAAACUCUUGUUAGCGGA